UACCCUAUUAUUAAGAAUAAAAAAUUGUAAGUAAAUAUUAAUUACGAAAGCAAAAAAUUAUGGCGGUAUUUUAAGCUUUUCAGAGGAAUUUGCUCUUUAAUGGAUAAAACACCUAAACCUUACUUAAAUUAGUACCUUUCAGUUUGUAUACCACUAUUAUAAUAAUAAUUUGUUAUUAUUAUUAAUAUUCUUAAAUUAGAAUAAAAUUAAGUCAAGGUGCAGCAUAAAUUUAUGAAUGAAGUGAAUUACAUUUCUUUAAAGAAAAAUGAAAUUGAAAUAAAACAUUUAGGAUUUGAUAGUAAAGUUAAAAUAUUAUGUUAAUUUGAAUAAAGCUCUAAAAUAUGUACAUAUCGCCCGUCACUCUUUUAUAAGAUAAGUCG
rnacentral:rRNA from 1 species